GACCCCUAAUCGGGGUUGCGGACAGUGCCUGGUGGGUAGUUUGACUGGGGCGGUCUCCUCCCAAAGAGUAACGGAGGAGCACGAAGGUGGGCUAAUCACGGUUGGACAUCGUGAGGUUAGUGCAAUGGCAUAAGCCCGCUUGACUGCGAGAAUGACAAUUCGAGCAGGUGCGAAAGCAGGUCAUAGUGAUCCGGUGGUUCUGAAUGGAAGGGCCAUCGCUCAACGGAUAAAAGGUACUCCGGGGAUAACAGGCUGAUACCGCCCAAGAGUUCAUAU
rnacentral:rRNA from 1 species